AAGGAUACUACUUUGAUGGAGAAA
rnacentral:miRNA from 1 species